rnacentral:misc_RNA from 1 species
AACGCACAUUGCGCCCCCUGGCAUUCCGGGGGGCAUGCCCGUUCGAGCGUCAUUACACCACUCAAGCCUGGCUUGGUAUUGGGCGUCGGGGUCCCCCCGCGCCUCCAUGUGACCGGCUGGACGAUUGGAAUCCUCAGCGUUGUGCAUCAAUUCGCUUAGGGGACCGUCGGCCGCGCCGUUAAACCCUCUAUUCAAGGUUGACCUCGGAUCGGGUAGGGAUACCCGCUGAACUUAA